UACGUAGGGGGCAAGCGUUGUCCGGAAUCAUUGGGCGUAAAGCGCGUGUAGGCGGCUCGGUAAGUCCGCUCUGAAAGUCCAGGGCUCAACCCUGGGAUGCGGGUGGAUACUGCCGAGCUCGAGUCCGGAAGAGGCGAGUGGAAUUCCUGGUGUAGCGGUGAAAUGCGCAGAUAUCAGGAGGAACACCAAUGGCGAAAGGCAGCUCGCUGGGACGUGACUGACGCCUGGAGACGCGAAAGCGUGGGGAGCAAACAGG
rnacentral:rRNA from 1 species